GGACUGGUACAUGGAGUUACCGGACGUAGUUCGUCGCAUUGUUGACCAGGCCGGAUUUGGCGCAUUCUGCAGGGGACUCUCGCGCCUUACGGCGAGCAGGUCUCUCCUUGCUGCUUUAGUGGAGAGGUGGUGGGACACCACCGAUUCUUUCCACUUCUCCAUCGUGGGAGACAUGACGAUGACUCCUUAUGAUUUCUCGAUGCUCACCGACAUCGGAGUAGGGG
rnacentral:sRNA from 1 species